UGAACAUUAUUUAUGAAAAUAAAGAAAAUGAUUUUAAAGCAUUAAUUUUGCAAAUAUUGCUAUUCAAGAUUUUAGAAUUCUUAGAAAAUUUUGUUUUUGGAUUUCAAAAAUACUUUUUGAGACCCCUAUAUUGUUUUAUUGUUAAAAGAGCUUUCUUUUUUUAUAUACAGAGAAAAUUCUUUUAUAUAAAUAAAAUUUUUGAGACCCAUCCUUUUAAUUUUUAUAAACUAGUGAUGUGUAGUCACUGCGUAGUAUAACACGCAGCAGUUUGGGGGAUAAAAACAGAGCAGCCAGUCAUCGAGGGUUUGGAAAAAGGGGAUUGAAAUUAGGGUUUCUUUUCUUUUAUUCUCUCUGAUUGCUCCAAGGUGAGAUUGUGAUUGUGUGUUGUUGGUAUGUAUAUAUACAUAUAUGAACCUGCUUUGUGUGUUUUCGGUGGGUGUGUUGUGAUGGCGAUGCUGGUUAUUAAGGGCAGCGGUGACUGCCACCGCCUGUAAUUGUAGUUGGAAGUCGGAGAGAGGCGGCGUGCUUCGUAGUGGCUGUGACGGCGACGACGCAUCGUCGGAAGGAGAUGACGAGAGGAAGGCCAGAAGUUGCAGCGGCGUAGCCGCGCUGUGACCUAUGGGCUGCGAUUUCAGUUGGGCUCGCCGGAAUUAGUCCGGGGUUAGAGCAGUUAUGAGGCUACAAGGGCUGGCAGUAGUGGUGAGUCUCGAUGUUGGAGGUCACCGCCGUUGGUGGGGCUGAUGAAGGUGUUGAGGUUGAAUUUGUGAAAGAAGGUGGGGGCAGUAGAUGAUGUUGGACGAUAGAACAUCAAGAGACUGAUGGGGUUGUAUUUUCGAUUGGGUUGAAAUAUGAUAUAUUGUUCUGUUUUAUUGUUCUGGUGUGGUGAGUCGCGACGGUGUCAUAGCUACAGUUGCAAGUCUGAAAAUGGGAUGGCUGAUUGGCAUUGAGUGUGUUUGGGGGUGGUGAAUGGGGCCAUUCAGUGGCGGUGGUGGCGAGUUGGUUGUCCUGGAACUCGAUGGUAGCUGAAGCCGUGACUCACCGGAAUUGUAUCAGUCGGUGGUGGAGUUGUUGUUAGCGGCAGAUGAGCAACGCGAAAAGGGAAGAUGAAGCUAGAGGUAGAAAGGUUGUAUUGAAGUAGGCGUGUGGAUUGUUUGCUGGAUGGCCAGGCGGUUGGGUGAGCCAUGUUUAUGGUCAUGGGUGUGGUUGUGGGAUGAUAACAGUAGCCGGGGUGAAGGCAUUGAAGCGACAGCUGCAUAUGGUUGGCCGGAGGUCCGGCCAGUAUAGUCUUUUUGUUGCUGCAGACUAGAGUCUAUUGCGAUGAUGUAUGCUUGUAUGAGUUGGAAAUUGGUUAAGCUGAAGUAUUGUGUGAGACAGGGGAGGCUAUAAGAAGGAUACAGUAGUGAUUCUUGGAUUAGACAGGGUUGAUAAUAUUUAAGCAAAAAGAAACAGCAGGGGUACUGUUGAUGUUUAGUUCAACCAUUCGGAGUGGAUUCAUAUGGCCAGAAAUUGGGAAAUGGAUUCAUAUGGCCAGAAAUUGGGAAAUGGAUUACAGAUCCGAACCAGAUAGGCAGAGAGAUAGAUAUUUCAUUAAUUAAUUAUGUAUUAUUGAAUUAUUAUUAAUAUCGGUAUUAUUAUUAUUAUCAUUUUAAUUGAUAAUAAUAAUGAUAAUUGAUACUUUUAAUAAUCUUGAUGAUCAAUAAUUGAUUAAAUUAUAUUCUAUUUCUGUCUCGAGUAAUGACGAAUGAAGUCUCUCGAGACGCGUGCAUCAACGAUUGUCAGAAGCAAGCAAAUAGCGUGGCAAGGCAAAUCAGAAAUAUUUUGAUAAGGCGAUAUUGUGCCGUAAGAUAGUCCAAUAGAUUAGUCAUUUCAGAAUUAGCGAUUGAGGCCAAUCUAGGAAUCUCGAGUAGGUGACUGUGUGUCACCUGUUUAUGUCAAAGGCAAGUAUUCCAAUUCUUCACUUUAUUUAAAGAGCAAAUAUUUUAACUCUCUCUUUUAAUAACGCGGUUUUCUAUCCAUGCAUGACUUGUAUUUCUGCAAGCAUUCAUACUUUUACACUGUGAUUAAAAUUAUCGAAUAUUUUUAGUUCGAUCUUUUUUUUAGUGGUAUGCACAAUGAUAUCAUUCUUUGAAAAGUAUACUGAUUAAGAAUUAAUCAGUUUUCUGAAAGAUUAUUGUCUGAGUUACUUUACAGUUUGAAACUAUUGAUGACUCUAUAGCAGUCAUAUUUCGACAUUACAAUAUAUGCCUGGUUUUCUGUCCCAGACAUAAACCCUGGAUUUUAAAUAACUAAAUAGCUUUGUUAAUUCCUUUGAGCCGUAUUGGGGUGGAUUUUAAAACUGUACUCAGACUUUGAUAAAAUUGGUUUUGACAGUAUCUUGGGAUUGAAAACAAAAGAGUUUUCAGAAAGAUUUUGCAAGAGAUGAUUGUAUGGCGUAAAGGACUAAUUGAUUGUCUAGCAAGAUAGACCAGCAAAAAUACUUUGUUUUGAUUGGAUGAAUGCGUAAGAGGCCGUGACGGCGGUCCAGUGAGGGCUAUAUACGUAUUAUAUGAAAUAUUAUAAUACAUCUGCCAAAGGCCAAUGUGUUGCCUUGUAUUUGGUACCUAUCGUAACGGAUAUACUUCUACGAAGUAUGAUCCAGUGCUAUCACAUGGUCUGAUCAGUUGUGAUAGUGCACCCGUCAGUUGUGGAUUCCAAUCCAAAAACUGGUCAAUUAUUGUUUAAGCUUUUUGAUAGCUUAUGUUUACUGUCAAAUGUAUCUUAUGAAUUUUCAAGCAUAUUUGUUUACAUGUUGGAUAAACUUUUGAAUUACAACUAUUUAUAUUUACUUCAAUAGUUUGCUUUAUUUUAAAUACUCUGAUUUAAUUUAAAAGAAUUAUAUCCUGUUGCUCUUGCCUUUCGUAUUACCUUGCUGAGCAUUUUCGCUCACUCUUGCUAUAUUUCUAACCCUUUCAGCUAGGGAUUAAGAUGAUCACCUGUGUAAGCUGCGCGUAAGAUUGAUGCUAGGCGAGAUUGCCAGGAAGAUGUUUACAAGAGUAGUUUUGGUUAGAAUUGAUUUAUUUCAAUUCUGUUGUAGAUAGAUUUAUUUAUUUUGUUAUCAGUUAUUCUUCUUAUCGAAGUUUAGCUGAUAAUGUAGUUUAAGAUGUAAUAAGAUUGUUAGUUUUGGUUUCUGAUUUCAGUGCUAUAACCUAUUAGCGAUCCUGUUUUUAGGGGGUCAAACUGAUUUUGAUUUAAAUCUUUUUUAAAGCUUUUCCAGAUUUUAAUAUCUGUUUUACCUUCUUCCGCAAAUACAGGUUUUAAAAUGAUUUUUGUUUCAGUGGCACCAAAUCCAGACCCCCGGAUUUGAGGGGUGUCACAGAAGAGGUGACUGAAGAAGAUGAAGGUGUUACUUUGGAAGUCAAUGAUGGAGAUGAAGAUGAGUUCUACACUCUAGAUGAAUUGGACAAUAUGGAAAACAAAACCAUGGCCUAUAUGGCAAGAAAAUUCUCUAACUUGAGAUUCAAGAAAAGCAAGGGUUUCAAACCAAAAGGACAAGUCUCAAGGUUCAAUAGAUGCAACUCAUCCAAGCCAGGUGGAAGCAACAAAGGUGGAUACCGCACAAGAAUGGUGGACAGAUCCAAGAUAAGAUGCUACAAUUGUAAUGAGAUGGGGCAUUUUGCUACUGAAUGCAAAAAGCCAAAACAAGUGAAAAGAAAUGACAAUGAUUAUGAGGAACUCAAAGCCAAGUAUGAAGCACUACUCAAAAAGCAACAAGGAAGAGCCUUUGUGGCUGAAGAAAAGUGCUGGGAAGAGUCUGAUGAGGAUGAAGAGGAAGAGUAUGGAA